GGUUGGUCCAAGUGCAGUGAUGUUUACAACUAAUUGAUCACAACCAGUUACAGAUUCCUUUGUUCCUUCUCCACUCCCACUGCUUCACUUGACCAGCCUUUA
rnacentral:Y_RNA from 1 species